UCUCUCUUGAGGAAAAUACUGCAUACUGAAACUGUCCAUGACAGGCAGUGUACCAGAGCCUGGGGUAAUUUCUCCAGCAGCUAACUAUCCAUAAAAUUGUGCCAGAUGCAUCCUCAGGUUCUCCAUCAGCCAGUAGAGCCAAGAGAAGGGGCAGCCCAGAGGGGAAACCACUGACUGCUGCAAAUAAGCCAUAUGAAAUGCCUCUGUACCAUCUAAUAUCAUGGCAAAUGCAGCCAAAGGCUAGAAAUGACAUUUAUGUGAGAUUUCCAGCACAUGACUGCUGGAGUAGAAUAGCUGGGAAGUCUAUCUGCUCAGAUUCACAUAGAUGAAGGAGGCAGAUGAUGUUGUACUGAUGCCUUAAGGAGAUUAAAGUCAUAGGUUUGAGGGUUGCUGGAACGUGUGGAAUAAACAGUCUGAGUCUUCUUUCUUCCAU
rnacentral:lncRNA from 1 species